GCCUAAUACAUGCAAGUCGAAACGCAAUUUGUGGGUUUGAAAUGAUAUGAAGAACUGUUCAGAUUUGAUUUUCAACAUUGCAAUGAGUGGCGAACGGGUGAGUAACACGUGGGAAACCUACCUCUUAGCAGGGGAUAACAUUGGAAACAAUGCUAAUACCGUAUAAUAAUUAAAACCGCAUGGUUUUAGUUUAAAAGAUGGUCUUGCUAUCACUAAGAGAUGGUCCCGCGGUGUAUUAGUUAGUUGGUGAGGUAAUGGCUCACCAAGACAAUGAUACAUAGCCGAGUUGAGAGACUGACCGGCCACAAUGGGACUGAGACACGGCCCAUACUCCUACGGGAGGCAGCAGUAGGGAAUCUUCCACAAUGGACGAAAGUCUGAUGGAGCAACGCCGCGUGUGUGAUGAAGGGUUUCGGCUCGUAAAACACUGUUGUAAGAGAAGAAUGACAUUGAGAGUAACUGUUCAAUGUGUGACGGUAUCUUACCAGAAAGGAACGGCUAAAUACGUG
rnacentral:rRNA from 1 species